UGAGGAAUAUUGGGCAAUGCCCGCAAGGGUGACCCAGCAACGCCGCGUGGAGGAUGAAUGUCGUAAGAUUGUAAACUCCUGUUAGAGGGGAAGAAUAGUACCGGUUGGACCGGUAUAUGACUGUACCCUCAGAGAAAGCCCCGGCUAACUACGUGCCAGCAGCCGCGGUAAUACGUAGGGGGCAAGCGUUGUCCGGAUUUACUGGGCGUAAAGGGCGCGUAGGCGGCAAUUCAAGUCAGCUGUGAAAUCUCUGGGCUUAACCCGGAACGGCCAGCUGAUACUGCUUUGUUAGAGUGCGGAAGUGGCAAUCGGAAUUCUUGGUGUAGCGGUAAAAUGCGUAGAUAUCAAGAGUAACACCUGAGGUGAAGACGGGUUGCUGGGCCGACACUGACGCUGAGGCGCGAAAGCCAGGGGAGCAAACG
rnacentral:rRNA from 1 species